rnacentral:rRNA from 1 species
AUACGGGGGGUGCAAGCGUUAAUCGGAAUUACUGGGCGUAAAGCGCGCGUAGGCGGUUAGAUAAGUUGGAUGUGAAAUCCCCGGGCUCAACCUGGGAACUGCAUUCAAAACUGUUUAACUAGAGUAUGGUAGAGGGAAGUGGAAUUCCAGGUGUAGCGGUGAAAUGCGUAGAUAUCUGGAGGAACAUCAGUGGCGAAGGCGACUUCCUGGACCAAUACUGACGCUGAGGUGCGAAAGCGUGGGGAGCAAACAGGAUUAGAUACCCGAGUAGUCC